rnacentral:rRNA from 1 species
UACGUAGGGUGCAAGCGUUAAUCGGAAUUACUGGGCGUAAAGCGUGCGCAGGCGGUGAUGUAAGACAGAUGUGAAAUCCCCGGGCUCAACCUGGGAACUGCAUUUGUGACUGCACGGCUCGAGUGCGGCAGAGGGGGAUGGAAUUCCGCGUGUAGCAGUGAAAUGCGUAGAUAUGCGGAGGAACACCGAUGGCGAAGGCAAUCCCCUGGGCCUGCACUGACGCUCAUGCACGAAAGCGUGGGGAGCAAACAGG